rnacentral:lncRNA from 10 species
GAGGGGCCAGUCCCGAGGGGACGGGGCUCCAACCUCACCUUCCUGCUGUCGUGGAGAAGAAAAGUGGUAAUGACCGCUGAGCCAGCCCUUUCCUUGGGUCCUGCGUAGGGCAGGGCAGGUCCACCUGGAACUUCUGUCUCAACCCCCAGACACACCAAACAGGACCCUCCAGCCUGCCCAGGUGCAAGACCCUGCUGGGCCUGGGUGAGGUGAGAUGCACCAGUGCCAGCUCCAAUCUGCCCUUGCCAAAUGCUCUUCCAAAUUGGCUCCGUGAAACCAGAACCGUGAAAUCCCGUCAGGAUAGCUGGAGGUAAGCACAGCGGUGGAAGGAUUUAGACCACGUCGAAACGGCUCAUGGACAAGAGGGUGAGAACCCGUGGACUCCUGGGCAAAGGCACCAUCGGGAACAUUAAGAAAGCAAUCCCACCUCAAACCCACAACCAAAAUAUUUUAUAAGAACCCUCCCUUCCCCCCCCACUCUCUUUUUGUC